AACGAACGCUGGCGGCAUGCCUAACACAUGCAAGUCGAACGAGACCUUCGGGUCUAGUGGCGCACGGGUGCGUAACGCGUGGGAAUCUACCCUCAGGUUCGGAAUAACUCAGAGAAAUUUGAGCUAAUACCGGAUGAUGACGUAAGUCCAAAGAUUUAUCGCCUGAGGAUGAGCCCGCGUAGGAUUAGGUAGUUGGUGAGGUAAAGGCUCACCAAGCCGACGAUCCUUAGCUGGUCUGAGAGGAUGAUCAGCCUCACUGGGACUGAGACACGGCCCAGACUCCUACGGGAGGCAGCAGUGGGGAAUAUUGGACAAUGGGCGAAAGCCUGAUCCAGCAAUGCCGCGUGAGUGAUGAAGGCCUUAGGGUUGUAAAGCUCUUUUACCCGGGAUGAUAAUGACAGUACCGGGAGAAUAAGCUCCGGCUAACUCCGUG
rnacentral:rRNA from 1 species